UACGGAGGGCGCAAGCGUUGUUCGGAAUCACUGGGCGUAAAGCGCGUGUAGGCGGCUUGGUAAGUCGGGUGUGAAAGCCCGGAGCUCAACUCCGGAACUGCACUCGAAACUGCCUCGCUCGAGUCCCGGAGAGGGUGGUGGAAUUCCCGGUGUAGAGGUGAAAUUCGUAGAUAUCGGGAGGAACACCAGUGGCGAAGGCGGCCACCUGGACGGUGACUGACGCUGAGACGCGAAAGCGUGGGGAGCAAAC
rnacentral:rRNA from 1 species